rnacentral:ncRNA from 1 species
UUAAAGUUUUAUUUUAACUUAAAAUUUCAGUUUAUUGUUAUUUAAUAUGUAUAUAUUAUAUUAAAAAUUUAUUUGCAGUUUUUAAUUUUAAAAAAUUAUUUAAGUAAGCUUUAGUAAUUAAUUAUAGAUUUAAUAAAAUUUGUGCCAGCAAUUGCGGUUAUACAAAUAAUUCAAUUGAAAUUUAUUGGUUAAUAAUUAAUUUUUUUUAAUUAAUUUAUUAUUAAAAUUUUUAAGUGAAAUUUAAAUUUUAAUAUAAUUUUUUUAUUUAUAUUUGAAGUUAUUAAAAUUAAUAUUAAACUAGGAUUAGAUACCCUAUUAUUAUAAUUGUAAAUUUUAAAUACCAGAUUAGUAUUAGUUGUUUUCUUAAAAAUUAAAAAAUUUGGCGGUAUUUUAGUCUAUUCAGAGGAACCUGUCCUGUAAUCGAUAAUCCACGAUUAGAAUUACUUUUUUUUUCUUGUAUAUCGUUGUUUUUGAAUAUUUUAGAAGAAUUAUAAUUUUCAAUAAGUAUAUUUUAGUUAAUUUCAGAUCAAGGUGCAGUUUAUAGAAAAGAAGAGAUGGGUUACAUUAAAUUUAUUUUUGGUUUAUUAUUUUGAAUAAUAUUAUUAAAUUGGAUUUGAUAGUAAUAUUUUAUAUAUUUAUUAUAUGAUUUUAGCUCUAAAAUGUGUACAUAUUGCCCGUCGCUCUCAUUUAUUUGAGAUAAGUCGUAACAAAGUAGAUUUACUGGAAAGUGAAUCUAGUAUUAG